GUAUUGGGAAAUGAGGGCAGUAUUAUUUAAUUCCAGAAAAUCUUACAAAAGACAAGAAAUCACAGUUUUUUUAGUUGGUUACUUAUUUAUUUAACAAUGAAUGACAAACUGGCCAAGGGGUUGCAAAUUUUUUUACUAAAGAUGUCCAAGGCAUUCCCUCAAAGUACUUCAUGGAAAUGUUUGGAUCAGAUUAAGACUGAAGUAGUCCACAGGUGACACAGGUGAACUGAUAGAGCCAACAGUGCUCUCUAAAAGAUGUUAAAUGCUGAGGCCCAGAGAAGGCAAGGCAAAGUGGGGCGGGAUGGGAUGGGGUGGAGAGGUGAUUGGUGUGUCCAUCAUGGAAUGAGAGCCGUGUGGCAGACAGUGUUGUGCAGCAUUGCUUUGCUACAAGUUGUGUGCUGUCCUAUGUCUGUCAAUUUGUUCAGUGAAUUAUCCAUCUGUGUCUGUCCUUGUGUGCCUCUUACUCUGCUGUACUCUGUGUGUGUGUGUGUGUGUGUGUGUGUGUGUGUGUGUGUGUGUGUGUGUGUGUGUGUGUGUGUGUGUGUGUGUGUGUGUGUGGGGUUUGUGUGUAUGUGGAGCUCAGCGCUGCACCACCAACACCACUCAUGGCAUUGGUGUGCCGUCGCCUCACUCGGCGUGGCUCUCCCUUCACCAGUGCCGUAGUGCUGUGAGACACAAAGGAAGCCCUGUGUUGUGUGGCGGGUGUGAGGGACUGAAGGACUUGCCCGGCCUGGCCUGGCUGCCACACCCAAGAGACAGAAGAAUGUGAUACAAAGCAGUAUUUGGGAACACAGGUGUGGUCUGGGUGGGGUGGUCUCUGCUGCAGGAUGGUGGUGAUGGUGUUUGGAGCCCCAGUGCCUUCCUGAAGCCUGUGCUGGUGUGUGUGCAGAGAAAGGUGCCAAGGAGCCGGACUGGCAGUGCUGAGUGUUCCCAGAGUCAGGUGUCUUCAAGGGGCCGGCCAGCUCGGCAUCCCUUGGUGCUGCGGUGAACUCCUUCCUGUGACAGUAUUUGCCCUGUGAUUAGUGCACUGGUUAAUGUUACUGUAGUCAUAAGAACUGUGGCGGGGAUGCCGUCGCCACCGCUGCACUGUUGUGGUGCCGGACCAUGCACCGCUGCUGCCGCUGCUGUUCGUUGCCAACAGACAAGAGUUUGCUGUUGUGCCGAGUUGAGGCGUCCCGCUGCCGAGCAAACACGGAACACCCGGUGCUUGGCCCAGACGGCUGACAGUUCCCUCCUGCCGUGGAGCUGCGCGGUGGCCUGGCCAUGGUGGAGGUCUGGGGCAAGAUAAGGCUGUGGGUUCCUUAUCAUCUUCCAUGGUUAUUGAUAAGCCUCUAAUUUAAUGACUGGCUAGCUAGUAUUUACUAAUAUCAAACUGUAUUCAACUAACUCACUAUGUCUUAGCUGUGCCGGCGUGGCGGGCGCAGCAAGGAGCAAUAAUGCCACCCUGGGGUCUGGCAGUCAGACCGUCGGGUCCAGCGUCCUGGGAUGUGGUCCUUGCCAUGACUGUAAAACUGCAACGUCAAACAGACCUACUCUAGUUGUCUUUUGUCCUGUUAAGUUUAGUGGUCCCAUCACUCCGGGGCGGUGCCACAGUUGCUGCUGCCACUGCCGCCGCCGCCACCACCACCGCUGUCUCAUCCUCAAACCAGCGAUCAAAUCUUAGCAUGAUCAAUGCCAAAUGUCAGAACUUUCCAUGUGUUGCCGUGUUUGUCUAUGUGUGUGUGUUCCGUUGUUCAGUGGAGUGCCGCACUGCACCAGACUGCUGGUGGCAGCACACACCAGCACCUGUGGAGUCUGGCCAGCUGUGUGGUGGUGGUGGUGGUGGCACGGUGGCAGACUUGUUUGCCGCCGUCCCUGUGCCGUGUCUGUUUCUUUCUGGGCGUGACAGUGUGUGGUGUAGUCCUGUGUUCUGUGGUCCCUGAACACCUCCACAGCCUUGGUUCGUCUGCAUCCACUCCUAGUAUUAAGCGUUGAUUGUUCAACUUGUAUUAAGUACAAAAUAACCUUACCCUCUGUUCCAGGACUGACAUGUUACAGUGAGCACUGGGUUGCCAGGCACUCCUGUCCCUCUGUACACUGGUCAAAAUGAUGCUUCUUAAGAGGCGUGUGAGGUGCGGUCAGACCGUACAUGUGUGUGUGAGUGUGUGUGUGUGUGUGUGUGUGUGUGUGGUGUGUAUAGACUGACAUUUAAUCUUUUACUUUCUCUUGAUUGACAUCUUUAAAAGUUAUUUCUUGAAACCCGUGUUAUGAGGAGUGAUAAUUUUUUCAUUUCACUGAUGAUGAAUCCUUCUGUUCCUUUUCCCAGCCCCGGCAGCCCCUCAGCCCCUCCCACAACAAAGCACUCUGUCCCUGCAUAGCUCCCACUCAGCCCCCAGCCCAGUCCCCAAGUCCCGAGUGAUUAGCAGUGUCACACUUGUAGUCUAUUACUGCCUGGUGAUAGGUGAUGCAACAUGAGAGAGAGAGAGAGAGAGAGAGAGAGAGAGUGGGAGCAGUGCAUGUGUUACAAUAUUCCUGGAAUCACUACAUUAUGGUAUGUGAAAGUAUUUUACUACCAAGCAAAUACAUUACUUGGAAUAAGAGCAGAGUGUUUGCAGUACCUUUGGGUGUGUGGUGCCUGCAGUAUCUGUCUAGCAACACUCAGCGGUGUGGUGAUAUGUGGUGAUGUACUGAAAGGUUUGAGCAGAAUGGACAGCAGGAAGGGAGACAGCACCAGACUCAGCUACUUUACUCCCUUACUGACUCUACAAGGAUGCACUGCCUUCCCAUUCUGAGGUGGACAGGUUAAAGGAAUGGAGUAAGGGAAAGCAAGGUGUGGGUGUGGUGGAGUCUAGUGAAGUAAGUUUGGUUAGUUCUUGGUUUUCCCGUUAAAGUGUUAAGACUAUGAGUUAAGAAGAUUGAGGCCAAGAAUUAGAGGGUAGAGAAGGAAAGUAUUUGUGUAUCACCUUCAUUGCUAGAAAGGGUAUUAGCAUUUCCUUAUUGUUUUUGUUUAGAGGUUCAAAAGAGGGAUUAUUUGUUAGUAUGUUUGUGUGUACAUGUUUCCUGUCCCUUGAUUGCAAUGGAGCCUUUUUCUUUCACUGUUUUUGUUGACUUAGCCAGUUUCCUUCUCUUAUUAACUCACCUGUGUCUUUAUUUACCAAGUUUCAGGCAGUUGAUAGAAGAAAUGCAUAAACAAACAGCUCAAAGAAAGACACUCCAUAAAUUAAAAGGUUUGGGUACAUCUUAAGAAUAAUUCCCAAGAAGUUGAUUCAGUUCGCAGCAAAGAAAUGCAGAAACAAAGUGCUAAAAAAAAGAAAAACAAAA